AGGUGAAUUAAUAAACAUUGUUCCCGAUUCUCAGCCAAUAAAAAAUGGCGAACAGUUAUUACCUGAUGUGGAGGAUAAUUCUUUUGCUGCAGUUAAAACCCAGAAACGUCAGAUGUGUUGGAUACCUGAGACAGUAAUAUCACAUUGCAACAAACACAAUAGUAGUCAACAAGAAUCUUCUAAUCUAAGUGACAUAGUUGCGAAGCAAAAAGCAUUCUCUUCCAUAUUUGAAAUGAGUUCUACAGAGGUGAAAAGUAGACUGCAUUGUGAUGAAAAAAUAACGGCGCAGCGGCAUCAUGAAACUAAUAUAGUGGCAAUGAAAAGUGGCAAGAUAAACAGUGCAGAAAUGGGAAACAGUCUCAAGCCUUUGGAUGAGAAAAUAUCAAAAAGUACCAGCAAAAACCUUGUUUCCAGUAAACCUGAAGUUAAUAUUAGUGCCAACCAAAUGGAAGACAGUUCUCUCAAACAUUUAGGAUAUCCAAAGUCAGUAACUGCAACCAAUGAUGAUGAUGAAUUUGAUAUAUGUUAUAGGAAAAAAACUGUUAAUAAGAAAACUAAUCAGGUAAAAUGGAGCUGAAUUGUAGCUACUUAUAACAUUGUAACUCAUAUGAAAGCCCUCUUUCAGUUUACAUUGUAUCAUUCAUUGAAACAAGAUCAAUACAAAAUAUAUAGUUAAGAGUCUUGUGGGCCACCGAAUGACAUCACUUGUAUUUCUUAAUCAAAAUUUCACACUGAUUGAUUUUCUUCCUACAAUAAAGAAAGAUCCACAUAUACGUUUUCUUGUGGGCUGAAAAAGAAAUUUGAUGACAAGAUUGUUUGGGGAAACGGCCAAAAAGAACAGUA